UACGUAGGGUGCGAGCGUUUGUCCGGAAUUACUGGGCGUAAAGAGCUCGUAGGUGGUUUGUCGCGUUGUUCGUGAAAACUCACGGCUUAACUGUGAGCGUGCGGGCGAUACGGGCAGACUGGAGUACUGCAGGGGAGACUGGAAUUCCUGGUGCAGCGGUGGAAUGCGCAGAUAUCAGGAGGAACACCGGUGGCGAAGGCGGGUCUCUGGGCAGUAACUGACGCUGAGGAGCGAAAGCGUGGGGAGCGAACAGG
rnacentral:rRNA from 1 species